AUACGGAGGAUCCGAGCGUUAUCCGGAUUUAUUGGGUUUAAAGGGUGCGCAGGCGGCCAUUUAAGUCAGCGGUUAAAUCGUGGGGCUCAACCCCAUUCUGCCGUUGAUACUGGGUGGCUUGAUUGCGGUCGAGGUUGGCGGAAUUCGUUGUGUAGCGGUGAAAUGCAUAGAUAUGACGAAGAACACCGAUUGCGUAGGCAGCUGACCAGACCGCAAAUGACGCUCAUGCACGAAAGUGCGGGGAUCGAACAGGAUUAGAUACCCUGGUAGUCCGCACGGUAAACGAUGAAUACUUGUUUUCGGCGAUAUAAUGUCGGAGGCAAAGCGAAAGCGAUAAGUAUUCCACCUGGGGAGUACGCCGGCAACGGUGAAACUCAAAGGAAUUGACGGGG
rnacentral:rRNA from 1 species